AUAACCUUUUUUUUAAUAAAAGACAAGUUAUCAAUUCUUAUGAGCUUAAUAUCUGAUACAAGAAACAAUCUGUCCUUCUUCAUAUUAAAGUUAUUUAUAAGAGACGAGGGAGAUUCACAUGCUUGUAUGGGUGCCUUCAAGAGUUCGUCUGGUAUUGCAGUAUCACGAGGAAUUUAGCUCACUUUUC
rnacentral:snRNA from 1 species